rnacentral:piRNA from 1 species
UGGUCCACUCUUACGUUUCCUGUUUUAAGAC